CUCGUCGAGCAAGUCUACGAAAAUUCCAUCCCAAAACUGUUAGUAUCCGAGGAGGAUCGUGGAAGAUGGUUUACAACAAUGGCUGGACUCAAUAUUUCCCAUGCGAUGAGUUUUCCGUUUGUUAUGAUGAGAUUCGGAGGAUAGAAGUAGGACAUUUUCCGGUUUUUUUUAAGAAAAUGGGGUUAAAAUCAAGUCUUGAGUGUAAAUUCUGAAAAAUUCGGGAAAUUUCCGUCAAUCUGACCCCAAUAUCGAUUUUUCAAAAAAAAAACGAAUUUUUGGCCUAGUGGCUAACGCAGAUGGCUGGGACGCACAAGACCGGGGUUCGAGUCCGCACUGGGCUCAAAAAUUUUUGUUUCGUUUUUGCGUACUGUAAUAAAAGCUUUAAAAAUUAUAAGUGCAGUUUCACCGGGUUUUUUUUUUUGAAAAAAAUUAAAUUUUCAAAAACAUUUUUUUGAAUUUUUUAAAGUAAUUUUCAAUUUCCAGAUUACUUCCUGAUUCCAUUCCUAACUUGUACACUCCUUAUCACUCUACCCAUCAACUACGCCCAGUAUACCAUCGGACAAUUCACCAACUGUCCGCCUAUCGUGCUCUACAGCCGGAUGGCUCCGAUUUUCACGGGAGUUGGAAUAAUGGUUACUAUCGUACAAUACAUUGUGUCAUCAUCUAUCCGAUUUGAUCAUCGAUUCAUUUCCAUGGCAUUUGAGUUUGCUUAUUCACUGUUGACAAAUCGAAAUGCGGUUUUCGCGGACUUUCUCCGAGUAGAGGCAUUUUAAGUGAGUUUUCACAAUAAACUAGUAAAGUUCUGUACAAAAACAGUAUUACAAAAAUUUUGGCCACAGCGCGGACUCGAACCCCGGUGUUGUGGGUCUCAUCCAUCUCUGUUAACCACUAGGCAUUUUUUCACUUUUUCUGAAAAGUCGAUAUGGGUGUCAAAUUGACCGGAAUUUCAGGGAAAAGCCGAAUUUUAAUAUAAAAAUCAUCAAAAAUCAAUAAUUUUCCAUAAAAUCUGAAGAUAUUAAUUUUUUGAUAAAAUUUUUCCAAACAAAAUACUUGAACAAACUUCAAAGUCCCGUUAAAUUCUUGUUAUCCUACACAAACACCUUAAAAUUGCUUAGAAAAAAAUUUUACCACAACGGGGAGUCGAACCCCGGUGUUGUGGGUCUCAGCCAUCUCUGCUAACCACUAGGCCAAGAAUUCAAAAUUCACAUUUUUUUAAAAAUCGAUAUGGGUGCCAAAUAGACGGAAAUUACAUGAAAAUUCAAAUUUUAAAGCAAUAUUUUUACAUUUUUUCAGACGGUUACGCGCCAAAAUGCAGAGAAAACGAGAUUUUCACAGAAAACCGGUGCCGACCGGCGGAUUUCCAUCGAUACGGGUACCUGCAUACAGAUAGGACAUAUCUUCAGGAAAAGCUGAGAUAUGAUCUCCAGUCGGACCCAAUAAUUGCCAAAUAUGCGACUGCUCAGUCGCCGCCGGUUAGGUUAGUUGUAAAAUUCGAAAAAUUCAAAAUUUUUGUGGAAUAUAAUCUUAGAAAGUGUUUAAAAAGUGAUAAAAUGGCAAUAUCAGUGCGAAAAAAGCCUAGAAAAAAAUUUGACCACUGCGGGGAUUCGAACCCCGGUGUUGUGGGUCUCAACCAUCUCUGUUAGCCACUAGGCCAAAAAUCAACUUUUUUGAAAAAUCGAUAUGGUAGUCAAAAAUUACGAAAAUUUCGUGAAAAGCUCGAAUUUUUCUAUAAAAACCUUUGAAAAUCAAUAUUUUUCGAGAAUUUUCAGAGUAUUCGACCCGGCCUACCAACACGCUCACUUCAUUUCCGCUGCAAUCGUUUUAUCGAUUUUUCUGUUUCUGUUGAGCCUACUUGGAGUCCGAAAGUUCAUCUGUGGAUAUCGAAACUACAUUUUCUUCGGAACAAUUCUCGUGUGUGCAGUUGUUCUGCAAAUUAUUAUCGGGGAAAACGAGCGACAGGCGACUAUGCUGAUUGUGG
rnacentral:sRNA from 1 species